UACGAGAGGCCCAAGCGUUAUUCGGAUUUACUGGGCUUAAAGAGUUCGUAGGCGGUCCAUCAAGUGGGGUGUGAAAUCCCUCGGCUCAACCGAGGAAUUGCGCUCCAAACUGUUGGGCUCGAGGGAGAUAGAGGUGAGCGGAACUGAUGGUGGAGCGGUGAAAUGCGUUGAUAUCAUCAGGAACACCAGAGGCGAAGGCGGCUCACUGGGUCUCUUCUGACGCUGAGGAACGAAAGCUAGGGGAGCAAACGGG
rnacentral:rRNA from 1 species